rnacentral:rRNA from 1 species
AGCAGCUUGCUGCUUUGCUGACGAGUGGCGGACGGGUGAGUAAUGUCUGGGAAACUGCCUGAUGGAGGGGGAUAACUACUGGAAACGGUAGCUAAUACCGCAUAACGUCGCAAGACCAAAGAGGGGGACCUUCGGGCCUCUUGCCAUCGGAUGUGCCCAGAUGGGAUUAGCUAGUAGGUGGGGUAACGGCUCACCUAGGCGACGAUCCCUAGCUGGUCUGAGAGGAUGACCAGCCACACUGGAACUGAGACACGGUCCAGACUCCUACGGGAGGCAGCAGUGGGGAAUAUUGCACAAUGGGCGCAAGCCUGAUGCAGCCAUGCCGCGUGUAUGAAGAAGGCCUUCGGGUUGUAAAGUACUUUCAGCGGGGAGGAAGGGAGUAAAGUUAAUACCUUUGCUCAUUGACGUUACCCGCAGAAGAAGCACCGGCUAACUCCGUGCCAGCAGCCGCGGUAAUACGGAGGGUGCAAGCGUUAAUCGGAAUUACUGGGCGUAAAGCGCACGCAGGCGGUUUGUUAAGUCAGAUGUGAAAUCCCCGGGCUCAACCUGGGAACUGCAUCUGAUACUGGCAAGCUUGAGUCUCGUAGAGGGGGGUAGAAUUCCAGGUGUAGCGGUGAAAUGCGUAGAGAUCUGGAGGAAUACCGGUGGCGAAGGCGGCCCCCUGGACGAAGACUGACGCUCAGGUGCGAAAGCGUGGGGA